GCGGACGUAGUGCACGGCGCACCGCUGCCUUCUGUAAUUGGAACGCAUGCUAUUUGCAAGCAGUUGACGGGGUUCGACUCCCCGCGUCCGCC